rnacentral:rRNA from 1 species
UAGUCCACGCCGUAAACGAUGGAUACUAGCUGUUUGGACUUCGGUCUGAGUGGCUAAGCGAAAGUGAUAAGUAUCCCACCUGGGGAGUACGUUCGCAAGAAUGAAACUCAAAGGAAUUGACGGGGGCCCGCACAAGCGGUGGAGCAUGUGGUUUAAUUCGAUGAUACGCGAGGAACCUUACCAGGGCUUAAAUGUAAGUUGCAUAAGUUAGAGAUAGCUUUUUCUUCGGACUACUUACAAGGUGCUGCAUGGUUGUCGUCAGCUCGUGCCGUGAGGUGUCAGGUUAAGUCCUAUAACGAGCGCAACCCCUGUUGUUAGUUGCCAGCGAGUAAUGUCGGGAACUCUAGCAAGACUGCCGGUGCAAACCGUGAGGAAGGUGGGGAUGACGUCAAAUCAUCACGGCCCUUACGUCCUGGGCUACACACGUGCUACAAUGGUAGGUACAGAGGGCAGCCANACCGCGAGGUGGAGCGAAUCUAUAAAACCUAUCACAGUUCGGAUCGGAGUCUGCAA